UACAGAGGUCUCAAGCGUUGUUCGGAUUCAUUGGGCGUAAAGGGCGCGUAGGCGGCCGAUCAAGUCGGAGGUGAAAUCCCUCGGCUCAACUGAGGAAUUGCCUUCGAUACUGUUCGGCUUGAGUCCUGGAGAGGGUAGCGGAAUUCCCGGUGUGAGCGGUGAAAGUGCGUAGAGACCGGGAAGAACACCAGUGGCGAAGGCGGCUACCUGGACAGGUACUGACGCUGAAGCGCGAAAGCUAGGGA
rnacentral:rRNA from 1 species